GUUCCCAUGGCGACCGGGGGCGCGCGGGAGCCGCGCGAGGGCCGGACGGAGCCGGCGGGAGAGCGGCGGGUUCCGGACGGCCUGGGGAGGCUGCGGGAGCUGCUGGAGCUCCGGCAGCGGCAGCUGCGGUCCCGCAUCGCCGCCUGCGAGGAGCUGAGGGCGGAGAUGGCCGCGCUGCGGGCGGCGCAGAGCUCUGGCCCGGCGGGCGGCGCGGGGCCCUGAGGAGCCCCGGGGACGGCGGCGGGAGCGGGGAUCGGCCCCGCGGAAGGGACCGAGGGGUUUGGGGCUCCGGGAACGCCCCGGCGAGCGCAGGGAGCGCUGACGGCCGCACUGCCGGGCUCCCCCGCCGUGGCCUUGGAGCUCACUCGGUGUCGCCGCGCUCGUACCUUAUCGCAUUAAAUUUACACUUCAAAAUAAA